GCGAAAUGCGAUAAGUAAUGUGAAUUGCAGAAUUCAGUGAAUCAUCGAAUCUUUGAACGCACAUUGCGCCCGCCAGUAUUCUGGCGGGCAUGCCUGUCCGAGCGUCAUUUCAACCAUCAAGCCCCCGGGCUUGUGUUGGGGACCUGCGGCUGCCCGCAGGCCCUGAAAACCAGUGGCGGGCUCGCUGUCACACCGAGCGUAGUAGCAAUCACCUCGCUCAGGGCGUGCUGCGGGUUCCGGCCGUUAAACAGCCUUACAAAACCCAAGGUUGACCUCGGAUCAGGUAGGAAGACCCGCUGAACUUAA
rnacentral:misc_RNA from 1 species